rnacentral:tRNA from 1 species
GCCUGGGUGGCUCAGUUGGUUGAGUGUCUGACUUUGGCUCAGGUCAUGAUCUCACUGGUCGUGGGUUCAAGCCCCAUGUCAGGCU